UGUAACCACACACACAAAUAGACAAUUACACUUAUUUACCCUUUAUCUCUCCCUCUCGAUGAUAUACACAGACAAACCAAGUUCACAUGGAAACCCUCCAUCUUCAAAGAACAACAUACACACAUCCAAAAUCCAUGCUCUCCCUCUCCCUUCUCGGUGAACCCACAGCCGGCUCCCCUUCCUCUCCGGUUGCACACGACACCCCCCACCCCCUUGUUACAUAUCUGAAACAGACCACCACCACCACUAACCGGUAGUGGUGCGGUGGUGCGGCAGACGAGAGAGAGACGAGACGAGGGAGAGAGACUGAAAGAAGGAGACCGAGAAGAGAAAGAGUGACGGAUCGAGAAGAAGGAGAGAAAGAACGGCGGAAAAGUGUGGCACCGCCGCUCAUGGCGGCGGCAGUAGCGGCGCGGUGGUGGUGAGCUCCGACGAGACUUCUCCGGAGAUCGAUGAUGAUGAUGAGGUUGUCGGUUUGAGUUUGGUUCGGGUAUAGUUUCGAGUUCAGGUUCGGCUCACUCAACAAGUCUGUAGAUUCGGUUACGGGUAUCGUUCGGGUCAGAUUUGGAUACGGUCAAAUCUGGUCAAAGGCGGUCAACAAAGUCAACAGUGCGGUUCGGGUCUCGGGCUACGGGUCAGCUUCAGUUUUGGCUCGGUCAACUCGGGUCAAACCCGGUUGACUCAGUCAACUCAACAAGUCAAACCGAGUCAACUCAGUUGACUCGGUCAACUCAGUCAAGCGACUCGACAGAAGGACUUGGUAAAAUUAACGGCGCGUUUAUUUUGUUAUCUUUAUCAUUAUGAUUCAUUACGUGAUAAACGAGCUCGAAACGACCUAUUUAUAGUUUA